GGACAUAAAAUUUUAAUUUAUCGGCACUAAUUCCAAUUAAAAAAAAAAGAAGAGAGAAUUGGAGAUAGGGUACAUUAUCCGGUACCCGCCUUAAACCGCUGUAGUCUCCGUGAUAUCUCCGGCGAGCAAAUUUUCUCAAUGAAGAAAGCUUGACAAGAAGUUGGAAGAAAUUGGAGAAAUGAUGAAUGCAAUCCAUCUGAGCACUCUCAGAAGCAUUUCUCAGCAACCCUUUUCUCCAUUCCUCCUCUUUCCACUUCCCAAUUCCAAACCCAUUAGCAAUUCAAGAAUCAAAGCAUCAUCAUCAGUUAAAGAAGAAGUGGAAAGGAAGAUAGAAAUACGUGUUUGCACAGACAGGGCAUGCAGGAAACAGGGAUCCUUGGAUACCCUUCAAGUUUUAUCUGGAAUUGGUCCUCCCUUUGUAGCUGUUAAUUCCUGUGGAUGUCUUGGCCAUUGCGGCGCUGGACCUAACGCUGUCGUUUUACCCGGUGCUGUAUAUGUUAAGCACUGUGGUACUGCUACUCGAGCUGCUAAAAUUAUGGCGUUCGUCUGCCUUGGUAGGGAUGACGUUGAAGGAGAGAGUAGGAGAAGUUUGGAGGCUUUAGCGUUGAGGAAAAGAGCUGAGGAUGAGAUGGGUAAUGGCAAUUUCUCCGAGGCACAUAGUUUACUUUCCCAGGCUAUUGCUCUUAAACCGUUUGGAGGUGUUCAUAUUAUGCUCAAAGACAGGUCUGCUGCAGAGUUGGCAACGGGAAAUUUGGUUGAGGCACUUGAAGAUGCUAAUGAGGCGUUGAAUAUUGCUCCCAAUUAUCCUGAAGGUUAUAUCUGCCAAGGUGAUGUUUUGAUGGCUUUGGACCAUGUCGAUGCAGCCGAGAAGUCAUACUCCACGGCUUUGGAGUUAGAUCCGUCCAUCCGUCGUUCAAAAUCCUUCAAGUACACUUCAUGUUUCUCGGUAUGUAGAGAGAUCUGCCCAUGCACACCACAAUGCUAAUGCAUGUGGAGGCUGGUGUUUGUUAAAAUAUUUCUAAGCCUUCCAAAAUCCAAACUGAAUAUUUUAUGACAAGAAAGAAUUAUUGGCCUGAAGUAAAUUUGUCAGCUGAAUCCACAUGCAUGCACGCAGGCUCGGAUUGCGAAGCUUAAGGAGAAGCUUGCUCUUGCAAAUUUGGCAUGAAGAACAUGUUUGUAUGUUAAAACUAAUUACGGUCUCUGUCAACCUAAUUUGCCUCAAGUAUUUCAGUAUUGCUGAGGUAGAACAAGUUUUAUGUAUGCCAAGUCUAUUGAAGUGCACUUCCACUAAUAUAAAUGGUUGUGUUGUAGUUCAUUGUCUAGUUUGACGCUGUAUAUAGAAUGAUGUCUGUAAACAGAAAAUUGUUUUAUCUUAGAACUUGAGCAAUCUUGGAGGAUCUUUCCUAUCUUUAU